AUGACUUCCUGCAGCUUAUCACUGCAUAUCACGUAUAAAAAGAUGGAGAUACCCUUAAAUAAAUAGGGUUAUACAUCUACGGAUAUUUUUUGAAAGUCUUUUGGAUAUUUUUUUCAGAAUAAAUUUUAUGGAUUAUGAAUUUUUUUAAUCUGAGAUUUUGAAUUUUAAGUUUCGAAUAUACUUUUUUGUCAUGUAUUAUUUCAAUUUCUGAUUUUCAUUCCAAAAUGAAGGAUAUUUUUUAAAAUAAAAAAUUAUAUUGAAUAUAAAAUUAAAAAUGAUUAGGUGUAAGAAGAACUUGCCAUAACUCAAAUGCCUUAAACACAAUUCAGCUAUAAGUUUAUGAUUCAACAUUAAAAUUUG
rnacentral:lncRNA from 1 species